rnacentral:rRNA from 1 species
GACGAACGCUGGCGGCUUGCCUAACACAUGCAAGUGGAGCGACGAACCCUUCGGGGGGCAAAGCCGCGAACGGGUGAGUAACACGUGGGUAACCUGCCCCGAUGACUGGGACAACCCGGGGAAACCCGGGCUAAUACCGGAUGAUGUGCACACACUUAAGUGUGUUCACUAAAGGUAGCUUCGGCUUCCGCAUUGGGAGGGGCCCGCGGCCCAUUAGCUUGUUGGUGAGGUAACGGCGCACCAAGGCAACGAUGGGGAGCUGGUAUGGGAGGAAGAUCAGCCACACUGGGACUGAGAGACGGCCCAGACUCCUACGGGAGGCAGCAGUGGGGAAUCUUGCGCAAUGCGCGAAAGCGUGACGCAGCAACGCCGCGUGAGGGAAGACGGCCUUCGGGUUGUAAACCUCUUUCAGUAGGGACGAAGGCCGGCCGGUGAAUAGCCGUGUCGGUUGACGGUACCUUCAGAAGAAGCUCCGGCUAACUACGUGCCAGCAGCCGCGGUAA